GACGAACGCUGGCGGCGUGCCUAAUACAUGCAAGUUGAGCGCUGAAGGUUGGUACUUGUACCAACUGGAUGAGCAGCGAACGGGUGAGUAACGCGUGGGGAAUCUGCCUUUGAGCGGGGGACAACAUUUGGAAACGAAUGCUAAUACCGCAUAAAAACUUUAAACACAAGUUUUAAGUUUGAAAGAUGCAAUUGCAUCACUCAAAGAUGAUCCCGCGUUGUAUUAGCUAGUUGGUGAGGUAAAGGCUCACCAAGGCGAUGAUACAUAGCCGACCUGAGAGGGUGAUCGGCCACAGUGGGACUGAGACACGGCCCAAACUCCUACGGGAGGAAGCAGCAGGGAAUCUUCGGCAAUGGACGAAAGUCUGACCGAGCAACGCCGCGUGAGUGAAGAAGGUUUUCGGAUCGUAAAACUCUGUUGGUAGAGAAGAACGUUGGUGAGAGUGGAAAGCUCACCAAGUGACGGUAACUACCCAGAAAGGGACGGCUAACUACGUG
rnacentral:rRNA from 1 species